UGGGGUACAGGCCUGAGGAGGGGUGGGAGUAAGAAGGGCUGUGGAAACUGUCAGGCCAUGAACCAGGCUGACCCUCGGCUCAGAGCAGUGUGCUUGUGGACUCUCACAUCAGCAGCCAUGAGCAGAGGUGACAACUGCACGGAUCUACUCGCACUGGCUCUGGAGAGUCUGUGGAAGAGGUCCCGCUGUAUGGGAACCUGCAUUAUCUACAGACAGGACGGCUGUCUCAAGACCCAGAGCCAGACCAGCAGGAUCCAACUCUUGGAGGCCCUGCCAGGGCUGCAGAGGAGGUGAUGUGCUAUACCAGCCUGCAGCUGCGGCCUCCUCAGGGUCGGAUCCCCGGCCCUGGAACCCCCGUCAAGUACUCGGAGGUGGUGCUGGACUCUGAGCCAAAGUCCCAGGCCUCGGGCCCCGAGCCGGAGCUCUAUGCCUCAGUAUGUGCCCAGACCCGCAGGGCCCGGGCCUCCUUCCCGGAUCAGGCCUAUGCCAACAGCCAGCCUGCAGCCAGCUGAGAUGGAGGGCCUGGCACAGCGGGGCAUGCACUGCCCCAGCCCCCCGUAGCAGGGGCAUGACUGUUUCCCAACCAGCACCCAAAGACGGGCGCCAUUGCCAAGUCACAGGAUGUGAUCUACCCCGGACUUCCUAUCUGAGCUUCAAGGGAGACAUCUCAGGGCAAAGCUUUCGUGAUGGAGGAGGCAAAGACAGUAGCCCCCUCCUUAUUUCCUUUUUCUAUCUGUUCCUCUUAGCCCCCAAACUCCCAGGUUCUCACUUCCUUCUUCUGGAGUUUAACCAGAUCCUCCCCACCCCCGCUCCCUCAUAGCCUACCCCCACGCCUCAGUGUCUCCUCAGGCACAGGAAGUGGGCGGUGGGGGAGGGGUAAGGGCCUGACAGUGGGUGGGUGGGUAUAUUCCUCAGGAGUCCACAGACUGGAGU
rnacentral:sRNA from 1 species